AAACUGAGGCACCGUGAGCUUAAGCUACCUGGAUGGUGCCGACCAGCUUGACCUGAGAGCCUCCAUUUCCCAGAGGCCUCUGCUCCGUAAAGCUGCACGUGACAACAGACCCCACUGCUAGGUGUCCUGGGCUGGGGGAUAUGCCUAUGACCAGACGUAUUUUUGCUCCGGGAAAACACCCACGAAAGAACAGUUCUGUGGACAGUCUGCCCGUUCUUGUCCCUGGAGAGAAAGUGGCCGUCCUGUACCCCUCCCCUCACACCAAACAGCGACUGCACGAAUGGUUACCAAGGAGCAAGUACAAUCCCCCCCGCCCCGCUUUUUUUUUGGCCGCACCUGAGGCAUGUGGACAUUCUUAGGCCAGGGGUUGAACCUGAGCCACAGCAGUGACUGAAUCCUUAACUGCUAGGCCACCAGGGAACUCCAACUGACUACUAGCGGAGAUGCUGGGGUCAUUGCUGGGUACAACACAGAAAAAUUCCUGCCCUGGGAGCCUGUCUUCUAGCAGAAGGAAAAUAGAGGCAAAUUAUCACCAUAAUUAAUAAGUAUAUUACAUUGUGUCUUAGAAGGAGAGAGGCCUGUGGGAAGAACACAGGAAUCUAAAGAGGAGCUGAAGUGUAGGAGCAGAGGUUUAAUUUAAAAUAAGACUCCCUAGGAGUUCCCUUUGUGGCUCAGGGGUUAACGAACCCAACUAGGAUCCAUGAGGAUGAGGGUUCGAUCCCUGGCCUUGCUCAGUGGGUUAAGGAGCCAGCGUAGCCUGAGCUGUGGUGUAGGUCACAGACGCGGCUCAGAUUCUGCAUUGCUGUGGCUGUGGCGUAGGCUGGUGGCUACAGCUCCAAUUCGACCCCUAGCCUGGAAAUCUCCAUAUGCCAAAGGAGUGGCCCUAGAAAAGGCAAAAAGACCCCCAAAAAAAUUUUUUUUUAAUAACAAUAAAAUAAAAUCAGCCUUCCUAGCUUGAUGGAAUGGGAGGGGGUGAGACGUGGACAGAUGAGACCUGGGCAGCUUUCCGGAAGAGGGACACAGACACAGUCAGUGCAAAGGCCCUGAGGUGCCUGUGUGUCUGGCACAGCUGAGGCUGAGCCUGGGGUCCAGGGAAGAUGCAGAGGGAUGAAAAGGGGCCGUGGAGGUGCUCGGAAGAGGCCGUCUUCUAGACAUGUGGUUGGAAGGUUUAAAGGCGGGAUAUGAGAGGAGCCAAGGAGGACUCCUGGGGACUGGGGAAGUGGGAUGGCAGAGACGUCAGGACGAAGCUGGAGCACUGAGAAGAGGCCAGCUGUUCCCUCCUCUGCUGCGCCUGGCCCCGUGGACCUUCACUCAGUGGUCUGUGUGGCACGCCUGUGCCCGAGUGGGAGGGACAAAGACAUGAGGCAGGAUGACAAAAUUACUCUAUGAUAUAUCAGGAUAUGAAAGCCAGAGCCUCCUUUAAUUUUCACAAAGAAAAAUACACAAUUUUGGAGUUCCCGCUGUGACCCAGUAGGCUAAGAAUCUGACCGCAACGGCUCAAGUGGCUGUGGAGGUGCAGGUUCGAUCCCCAGACCGGCACGGUGGGUUAAAAGGAUCCAGCGUUACAGCAGCUGUGGCUCGGAUUCAAGCCCUGGUCCAGGAACUCCCAUAGGCCCUGGGUGUGGCCAUGACAUUCUUUUACAAAGAAAAAUACAAAAUUUUAAUACUGUUUUCUUUUGAGAUAAUUCCGGCUUUCCAGGAGUCAGGGCCGAGUUUCCACACCCCACCCAACUUCCCCUGCUUAUAAGGCCUGGCAUGACCACAGUACCCUGGGUGUCUCGGAAAACAAGACACUAACUUUGGUGCAAUGCUACUAACUAGACUGCAGGCUUUACCCACAGUUCCCGAGUGUGCCCUCACUGCUGUUUUUGUGAUACAGGACCCCUCCCUGUGUUUUGCGGUCCUACCUCCCUACUCUCUUCCAGUCUUGGUCUCCUUGGCAAUUGCCUGGCACCUGCUUCACUCCUCCGCGGGCCCAGGUCUGGGCAGGAGUCUGGGGCCCGGGGGGAGCUCUGGCCACCCGCCCAGGGAGCCAGACCCAGAGCGGAGCUGUGGAAGCUGAGUCUCUGCCUGAUCUGGGCCACCGCCCUGGUGCCCAGCUCCCUGCAGCUCUUAGCCCAGGAAUUGCCCAUCCCCGGUCACCAUGGCCACUUCUGAUCAACAGAACUGGGUCCGGGAGGCUUGUCUGGCCCGUUUCCCCAACAACACAGAGCGGGGCGGGGGGGGGUGGUUCCUGAACUCCAUCAGGAUCCAAGCACUGGCUGAAAUUUGCUCUGAGGCUGAAGGACACUGCAGCCGGUCAGGAGAAGCCCGUCUGUCCCUACUUGCCCCCCCCCCCAGCCCCCUUUACCUGCUUUCACCCUAACUACUGACCCAGAGUCCGCAGUGUGCCACCAGAGAGUGACCCGGGAUGGCUGGGUUUUGACGCUAAGACCACAGCUCUCAGAUCCUUGCCAGGGGACCCUAAAUCAGUCACGGCCUUCUUUAGGACUCGUUAUGAGCAUGCGUGACCCAGGGCCCCUUCCAGGGCUGGCAGCCACUGUUAAGUCAGGAAGAGGCGGAUGGCCUGGUUACCAUGGCAACCAAAGUUUGCUUUCAGGGCAGCUGGUGUUCAGAUCUUUGGACUCAGAGAUGCGUGAUGUUAUGACGGUGGAGGCUCCAGGCGCAUUCAGAUAAAUCUCUCCUGCACUUCGCUGCUAGAGGGAGGCACACGGGUGCCAGGUUCAAAACUCAAAGACAGGCCGAGUCUUUUCAGGGGCCAGAAGAUGCUAUUACAGCCCUGGUCUGGGCAUGAGGCUCCUCAGAGGACAGGAACACAUGCUUUACAACUGCCACCAAAGCCAUUUGUGUCACUGUCCACUGCUCCGCUAGUGAGGGUGGCUCGUUGGUGGUGAGGGAUGGCCAGGACCCAAGAUACCUGCGCUCAGCAUUAGGACAGGUGUGGGCGGGGGGUGGGCUCUGCACGAGACCGCCUGAGGCUCCAGCACUGAUCAGCUGUGUGACUGGGGGCAAGUAUCUUGGGCUCUCUGAGCUCAGUGCCCUGUCCAUCAAAUGGGGGAACCACAGAAUCUAUUCCACGAUGCUGCCAAGGGUUAAACCAUCAGAACCUCCGAGUGCCCAGGACACCACCCUCUCAGUAAAUGACAGCGCUCAAGUCCUUUCCAGGGGACCCCAGAGCUGUCACUUUGCCUUCUUUAGGACUCUGAUGUGAGCAUGCGUGACCCAGGGCCCCUGCCAGUGCUGACUCUGCACCUCCCGGGUUUGGCAUGCACUCGCCCUGGCUGUCACACGUGUUCGCCAGUAGAGGGCCACGCAGACUGUUCUCCAAGCAGCAGGAUGCCAUUGGCGCUGAGAGGGCAGAUGGGCUGGGGCUGGAGAAGCCAUUGCUUAAUUUAAGAUUUCAUUUCAAUACCAAACGCAGGAUUCUUUUUAAAAACCAGGUUGCUGUUUUCCCCACGAUAGCGGUAGGCUAAGUACCCGGGGGUGGGGGGAGGGGAGCAUUUGGGAGACGACCCUGGGUCUGGUUUCCCUGCCUCACCCCCGGGUGUGCCGAGUCCCACAUGUCCUGAGUUUUCCAAACCUGGUGCCUUAGCCUCUGCUUUUAGAGACCUCACUUCCUGUUCCUCUUUUAAAGCCCAGCUCUGGGAGUUCCUGCUGCAGUGGUAACGAACCCAACUAGUAUCCAUGAGGAUGAGCGUUCGAUCCCUGGCCUCGCUCAGUGGGUUAAGGAUCCGGCGUAACCGUGCGCUGUGGUGUAGAUGGCAGACGUGGCUUGGAUCCGAGUGGCUGUGGCUGUGGCGUAGGCCAGCAGCUGCAUCUCCGAUUCAACCCCUAGCCUAGGAACCUCCAUAGGCUGCAGGUGCGGCCCUAAAAGAAAUAAUAAUAAU
rnacentral:lncRNA from 1 species